rnacentral:rRNA from 1 species
UACGUAGGUGACAAGCGUUGUCCGGAUUUACUGGGCGUAAAGAGCGCGCAGGCGGUCGAUCAAGUCGAGUGUGAAAGCCCCCGGCUCAACUGGGGAGGGUCAUUCGAAACUGGUCGACUCGAAGGCAGGAGAGGGUAGUGGAAUUCCCGGUGUAGUGGUGAAAUGCGUAGAUAUCGGGAGGAACACCAGUGGCGAAGGCGACUACCUGGCCUGUUCUUGACGCUGAGGCACGAAAGCCAGGGGAGCAAACGGG